GACGAACGCUGGCGGCGUGCCUAAUACAUGCAAGUCGAACGCAGGGGGGACGGGUGAGUAACACGUGGGUAACCUCCCUUCAGAGGGGAUAACACCUGGAAACAGGUGCUAAACCGAUACUGAUGGAUGGACCCGCGGUGCAUUAGCUAGUUGGUGAGGUAACGGCUCACCAAGGCCACGAUGCAUAGCCAGCCUGGGAGGGUGAACAGCCACACUGGGACUUAGGCACGGCCCAGAAGCGUACGGGAGGCAGCAGUAAGGGAGCUUCGGCAUUGGAAGAAAAGCUGGCCGGACAAGGACGCGUGAGUGAAGAAAGUUUUCGGGUCGUGAAACUCUUGUGUUAGAGCAGCGGUGUCUGACCAGUAAGGCACGGCUAACUCGGUGCCAGCAGCCGCGGUAAUUC
rnacentral:rRNA from 1 species